UUUCCGGUUGAUCCCGCCGGAGGCCACUGCUAUUGGGGUUCGACUAAGCCAUGCGAGUCUAUGGACUUCGGUCCAUGGCGGACGGCUCAGUAACACGUGGCUAACCUACCCUCAGGUGGGGGAUAACCUCGGGAAACUGAGGGUAAUACCCCAUAGGGGAAGAGGUCUGGAAUGAUCCUUCCUUGAAAGGACAUCCGCCUGAGGAUGGGGCUGCGUCCGAUUAGGUAGUUGGUGGGGUAAUGGCCCACCAAGCCUACGACCGGUACGGGCCUUGAGAGAGGAAGCCCGGAGAUGGGGACUGAGACACGGCCCCAGGCCCUACGGGGCGCAGCAGGCGCGAAACCUCCACAAUGCACGAAAGUGCGAUGGGGGAACCCCAAGUGCCUAUGCACAGCAUAGGCUUUUCCCAAGUGUAAACAGCUUGGGGAAUAAGGGCUGGGCAAGUCCGGUGCCAGCAGCCGCGGUAACACCGGCGGCCCGAGUGGUGGCCACUCUUAUUGGGCCUAAAGCGUCCGUAGCCGGUCCAGUAAGUCCCUGUUUAAAUCCUACGGCUCAACCGUAGGGCUGGCAGGGAUACUGCUGGACUUGGGACCGGGAGAGGACGAGGGUACUCCAGGGGUAGCGGUGAAAUGUGUUGAUCCCUGGAGGACCACCUAUGGCGAAGGCACUCGUCUGGAACGGGUCCGACGGUGAGGGACGAAAGCCAGGGGCGCGAACC
rnacentral:rRNA from 1 species